rnacentral:rRNA from 1 species
UACGAAGGGAGCUAGCGUUGUUCGGAAUCACUGGGCGUAAAGCGCACGUAGGCGGAUGUGUCAGUCAGGAGUGAAAUCCCGGAGCUCAACUUCGGAACUGCCUUUGAUACAGCACGUCUUGAGUCCGAUAGAGGUGGGUGGAAUUCCUAGUGUAGAGGUGAAAUUCGUAGAUAUUAGGAAGAACACCGGUGGCGAAGGCGGCCCACUGGAUCGGUACUGACGCUGAGGUGCGAAAGCGUGGGGAGCAAACAGG